rnacentral:rRNA from 1 species
CCCCGCCACACAAACAAAACCCCGGCGCGAGACGCGCCAAGGAAUCAAAAACGAAAAGAUAGGGAACGGGCGGCCCGUCGAGUGCCGGAGACGGAUCUCUCGCGGGCGGCCCCUUCUCGUUCGGAAACAAAACGACUCUCGGCAACGGAUAUCUCGGCUCUCGCAUCGAUGAAGAACGUAGCGAAAUGCGAUACUUGGUGUGAAUUGCAGAAUCCCGUGAACCAUCGAGUCUUUGAACGCAAGUUGCGCCCGAAGCCUUCGGGCCGAGGGCACGCCUGCCUGGGUGUCAUGCAUCGUCGCCCACCCCCAUUAUCGGGACGGGCGGAGAAGGGUCUCCCGUGCGCUCCCGCUCGCGGUUGGCCAAAAUACAAGUGGUUGGCGGCCGAUAGCGCCACG